rnacentral:rRNA from 1 species
UGGCGGACGGGUGAGUAACAUAUAGGAACAUACCCAGUAAUGGGGGAUAACGCCGAGAAAUCGGUGCUAAUACCGCAUACGCCCUGAGGGGGAAAGCGGGGGAUCUUCGGACCUCGCGUUAUUGGAUUGGCCUAUAUCUGAUUAGCUAGUUGGUGAGGUAAAGGCUCACCAAGGCGACGAUGGGUAGCCGGCCUGAGAGGGUGUCCGGCCACACUGGGACUGAGAUACGGCCCAGACUCCUACGGGAGGCAGCAGUCGAGAAGCUUCGGCAAUGGGCGAAAGCCUGAUCCAGCCAUUCCGCGUGAGUAAAGAAGGCCUUCGGGUUGUAAAGCUCUUUCGGCAGGAACGAAACGGUGAGGGUUAAUACCCCUUAUCAAUGACGGUACCUGAAGAAGAAGCACCGGCUAACUACGUGCCAGCAGCCGCGGUAAU